CACAGGCUGGUACUGUAGGGACAAGGCAUGAUGGGUAAUCACUUCAUCCACCUCUCUUCUCACCCUGAUGUGCUCAUCAUUCUGGAACAGGGUCAGUCUGGACUCAUCACACCAUAUGACCCUUUUCCAUUGAAACUCAGUGCAAUCUUAAAUCUGAU